ACGAACGCUGGCGGCGUGCUUAACCCCUGCCAGUCGAACGGAGAGGCCCUGCUUUUGUGGGGUGCUCGAGUGGCGAACGGGUGAGUAACACGUGAGUAACCUGCCCUUGACUUUGGGAUAACUUCAGGAAACUGGGGCUAAUACCGGAUAGGAGCUCCUGCUGCAUGGUGGGGGUUGGAAAGUUUCGGCGGUUGGGGAUGGACUCGCGGCUUAUCAGCUUGUUGGUGGGGUAGUGGCUUACCAAGGCUUUGACGGGUAGCCGGCCUGAGAGGGUGACCGGCCACAUUGGGACUGAGAUACGGCCCAGACUCCUACGGGAGGCAGCAGUGGGGAAUAUUGCACAAUGGGCGGAAGCCUGAUGCAGCAACGCCGCGUGCGGGAUGACGGCCUUCGGGUUGUAAACCGCUUUCGCCUGUGACGAAGCGUGAGUGACGGUAAUGGGUAAAGAAGCACCGGCUAACUACGUG
rnacentral:rRNA from 1 species